UACGUAGGGAGCAAGCGUUGUCCGGAAUCAUUGGGCGUAAAGCGCGCGUAGGCGGCCCUGUAAGUCCGUUGUGAAAGUCAAAGGCUCAACCUUUGAAAGCCGAUGGAUACUGCAGGGCUAGAGUCCGGAAGAGGCGAGUGGAAUUCCUGGUGUAGCGGUGGAAUGCGCAGAUAUCAGGAGGAACACCAAUAGCGAAGGCAGCUCGCUGGAACGGUACUGACGCUAAGGCGCGAAAGCGUGGGGAGCGAACAGG
rnacentral:rRNA from 1 species